rnacentral:rRNA from 1 species
AGUGAACGCUGGCGGUAGGCCUAACACAUGCAAGUCGAACGGCAGCACAGUAAGAGCUUGCUCUUACGGGUGGCGAGUGGCGGACGGGUGAGGAAUACAUCGGAAUCUACUUUUUCGUGGGGGAUAACGUAGGGAAACUUACGCUAAUACCGCAUACGACCUACGGGUGAAAGCAGGGGGUCUUCGGACCUUGCGCGAUUGAAUGAGCCGAUGUCGGAUUAGCUAGUUGGCGGGGUAAAGGCCCACCAAGGCGACGAUCCGUAGCUGGUCUGAGAGGAUGAUCAGCCACACUGGAACUGAGACACGGUCCAGAGUCCUACGGGAGGCAGCAGUGGGGAAUAUUGGACAAUGGGCGCAAGCCUGAUCCAGCCAUACCGCGUGGGUGAAGAAGGCCUUCGGGUUGUAAAGCCCUUUUGUUGGGAAAGAAAAGCAGCAGGUUAAUACCCCGCUGUUCUGACGGUACCCAAAGAAUAAGCACCGGCUAACUUCGUG